rnacentral:rRNA from 1 species
GACGACCGCUGGCGGCGCGCUUAACACAUGCAAGUCGAGCGAAGCGUCGCACGGGUUCGUAACACGUGAGUAACCUGCAUUAGACAUCGGGAUAGAUUCGGGAAACCGGGAUUCAUACCAAAUGGUCUAAGAUGUACUCGCGUCCCAUACGCGAGUUGGCGAGGUAACGGCGCACCAAGUCGACGAUGGGUAGCCAGCCUGAGAGAGUGAACGGCAACAUUGGAACUGGGAACCGGUAAAAACUCUACGGGAGGAAGCAGUGGUGAAUAUUGCACAAUGGAGGGAACACUGAUGCAGCGACGUGGCGUGGACGAAGAAGGCUUUGGAAUAGUAAAGUUAUUUUAUAGUGGAAGCGGUACCAUAAGAAAAAGCCCCGGCUAACUACGUGCCAGCCGCGGCGGUAUUC